rnacentral:rRNA from 1 species
UAGGGAAUUUUGCGCAAUGGGCGAAAGCCUGACGCAGCAACACCGCGUGAAUGUUAAGCCCUUCGGGGUGUAAAGUUCUGUCAGUAGGGAAGAACAAAUGACUGUACCUACAAAGGAAGCACCGGCUAACUCCGUGCCAGCAGCCGCGGUAAUACGGGGGGUGGCAAGCGUUGUCCGGAAUCAUUGGGCGUAAAGCGUUCGUAGGCGGCAAGAUAAGUCAGAUGUUAAAGCCCGGGGCUCAACUCCGGUUCGGCAUUUGAUACUAUCUAGCUAGAAUGCGGUAGAGGUAAAGGGAAUUCCUGGUGUAGCGGUGAAAUGCGUAGAUAUCAGGAGGAACAUCGGUGGCGAAAGCGCUUUACUGGGCCGUUAUUGACGCUGAGGAACGAAAGCUAGGGGAGCAAACAGGAUUAGAUA